CUUACCUAUGUUACCAGAUGGGUAAUCUGCAUGGAGUGCAAAAUUUGAGCGAGAAAAUCGAGGAAAACUCGACAGUACAACAACUCUUCACGCUACAAGGAAACUGUGGGCGUCUGAGGCGUCCAGGCGUUGGCGUCACAUUCUCGUUCCCAGAUCCUCCUCGGUUGUUGUCAAUCAACGACACAGAAGUGCCACGAAUGUCCUUGGUAUCGAAUUGUGCUUGGGCUUCCUGUGUAGCGUUCAUCUCCAGAAAGCCACAUCUGAUACAGUGAUCCCAACAUGUUGCACUCUCUCGUACAUCAACUUUAACACCGUAAUGUUUUCUGCCUUUCGAAAUAUAGAGCAAAUAUGAAGGAACAGAAUACCAACCCUCAGACAGUUCCAUAUGGAUUUGGUUGCACAUGUGGUUCUGAAAAAGUCAUAUUUUGUUAUAACAAGAGAACUGGACAGAAAACAUGGAGCUGUUCUGGCAAAUGCUUUGAGUUGAUCAGCUACCGUGUUUUCAUCUUCAGAUGACAGCUUCAGAGCUUUCAAGAGAGAAUUCAUUAGAUUGAAGGAAUCUGCAAACUUUGUUUCAUCCCAGGUCUGGAAGUUAGGGUGGGCCCAUUCAUUUCUUACAUCUUUUCGUACUUUACUUGAGAAGUCUUGAAUGUCAGCAGAAAAGACACUAGCAGAGGAAAGAACACCAAGGACUGCAGAUAGAUCGCAAGUAUCAUUGAAUCCUAGAGUGAAGAGAAAAAGAAAAGAAGUAUUCUCAUUAUGAAUCUGAUGUGUCUAAUUCCCCAAAUAGCGUUCUCUUUCAGUAAGACUGCAGCAUUCGGAACCUGCUUUUUGAUUAUAUUUUGAACCUGAUUUUUUAAAAUUUUUGAUAAGUUGGCAACUUUAAUUAAAAGUCAUACUAAAAUAAACAGUAUACAACGACCCACGAGAGGUCAGUUUUCGACAAGUACCAUCAUCAUCAUAUCUUUGGGUUACAACCGAGAUGGAACUGACAACGUGAGACCAAGAGUCUUUAUCCAUCAUUAAACAAGGAAGGUAUUCAAUUGUGUCUUUUGCAUCAAUGGUUGAACGGCCUUUGUCCUCUGUUUAGGGCACGUGAGUCUCCAGCAUAUAAAGUCAGAUAUGAGUUGGCAUUAUAGUACCGUAGCAGUGGCUAUCAAAGCAUAUUACUUUAAAGAACCGAGUAAGAAUAUACUUACCUGUGAAUUGAGCCAUGUGAGAUUUCAAGUACAGCUUGGCCAAGUCAAUAGCAGAAGUAACAUUGUAGUCGUAGUCUUUUACAUUCUUUGUGCCAUUGUUGUUUAUACUACAAUAUUUCAAUGCUUGGCCUGCGUCAUUAACAAGUCGUCCUUCGUGGACUUGGUUGUGGAUGUUGUAGCUGGUCUUCAGUUUAGUGUAGUGUUUCAGCAUAUUCCGUUCUAGGAACUUUCGUAAAGGUGGAAGAAGAACAAUGUUCAAGCAUAUGCUAAUCACCAACCAUCGCUUCUGGUUUUCAGUGAAGUCUAACGUUGGACCUACCACCUGUUUGUAAGACAUGAAAAUAACUUGAGUACAAAAUGUUUUAAGUGAAUUCCAUAAAGCACAGAAAGUGGGAACUGUAAGAAAGCAGAUUGCAUUACAUCCCAGCGUUCAGUAUCAUCUGCUUCAAAUAUGGCUUGUUACUGUCACUCGCUAGUCAGCUGUAGUCCUCAAGCAUGAUUACGCUUUAUACUUACACUUCCAGAAUUCCUUUCUGUAGCUUUUAUGUUAAGUUAAUUUUCACUAUUGUCUUGGUAUUCUCAAAGGAGUUUUAACAUUUUAAUUUGAAAAGAGAUUUUGAAAAUGAAACGUCAUUAGGAUUAGGGUAAGGUCUAUUGGUGGUGAUGUUAUGAGAGAGAAAAUUAAUGUUUUUACAGACUUAGCUAGACAUCAGUUUUUCUAAUUACUAUUUCUUAUCGUAUGAAAACAAGAUAAAGAACGAUCAAUUAGUUAUUGAAAAUAUCGAUAUAAGAUUUCAGUAAGGCUACUAUCACGCAAGUUUAGAUAAUGGUAUGCUUUGAAUUUACAAGUAAACUACUUAGCUCCUCCCAUUAGCAUGUACACCUAUGGUUACACCCUAAACACUCUUUACCCCUUUGCUUAGUUAUUUUACCACUAUUCUUUUAAAUCUUAUGAUAUAAUUAUUCCUCGUAGACCUUUCUAUACAUUUACCAUAUACUCAUAUAAUAUCUUUAGUUUAAGUUAUGUUUAGUUCUAUGAUUUUCACUCGUAUUAUCCUUAAUAAGAUAUCACACUCAGGAAUUUACUAUUUCCAUUAGCCAAUCAAGGCACAGCGAUAAUAUUAUAUUGAUGGUAGAAUGACACAUGUCAUGAAGUUAUUAUAAAUAGAGCUCAUGUAAUUAGUUUAAGUCAGAUAGAGAAGAAGAGUAAAGAAGAAGAGAAAGUAGAAUAAAGAUCCCGAGUAGCUCUACCGAGAGCGGUCCAUCCCAUAACA